AGUGAACGCUGGCGGUAGGCCUAACACAUGCAAGUCGAACGGCAGCACAGUAAGAGCUUGCUCUUACGGGUGGCGAGUGGCGGACGGGUGAGGAAUACAUCGGAAUCUACUUUUUCGUGGGGGAUAACGUAGGGAAACUUACGCUAAUACCGCAUACGACCUACGGGUGAAAGCAGGGGAUCUUCGGACCUUGCGCGAUUGAAUGAGCCGAUGUCGGAUUAGCUAGUUGGCGGGGUAAAGGCCCACCAAGGCGACGAUCCGUAGCUGGUCUGAGAGGAUGAGCAGCCACACUGGAACUGAGACACGGUCCAGACUCCUACGGGAGGCAGCAGUGGGGAAUAUUGGACAAUGGGCGCAAGCCUGAUCCAGCCAUACCGCGUGGGUGAAGAAGGCCUUCGGGUUGUAAAGCCCUUUUGUUGGGAAAGAAAAGCAGCAGGUUAAUACCCCGCUGUUCUGACGGUACCCAAAGAAUAAGCACCGGCUAACUUCGCG
rnacentral:rRNA from 1 species